rnacentral:rRNA from 3 species
UUAAAUUGAAGAGUUUGAUCAUGGCUCAGAUUGAACGCUGGCGGCAGGCCUAACACAUGCAAGUCGAACGGUAACAGGAAGCAGCUUGCUGCUUCGCUGACGAGUGGCGGACGGGUGAGUAAUGUCUGGGAAACUGCCUGAUGGAGGGGGAUAACUACUGGAAACGGUGGCUAAUACCGCAUAACGUCGCAAGACCAAAGAGGGGGACCUUCGGGCCUCUUGCCAUCAGAUGUGCCCAGAUGGGAUUAGCUAGUUGGUGAGGUAACGGCUCACCAAGGCGACGAUCCCUAGCUGGUCUGAGAGGAUGACCAGCCACACUGGAACUGAGACACGGUCCAGACUCCUACGGGAGGCAGCAGUGGGGAAUAUUGCACAAUGGGCGCAAGCCUGAUGCAGCCAUGCCGCGUGUAUGAAGAAGGCCUUCGGGUUGUAAAGUACUUUCAGCGGGGAGGAAGGUGUUGUGGUUAAUAACCACAGCAAUUGACGUUACCCGCAGAAGAAGCACCGGCUAACUCCGUGCCAGCAGCCGCGGUAAUACGGAGGGUGCAAGCGUUAAUCGGAAUUACUGGGCGUAAAGCGCACGCAGGCGGUCUGUCAAGUCGGAUGUGAAAUCCCCGGGCUCAACCUGGGAACUGCAUUCGAAACUGGCAGGCUUGAGUCUUGUAGAGGGGGGUAGAAUUCCAGGUGUAGCGGUGAAAUGCGUAGAGAUCUGGAGGAAUACCGGUGGCGAAGGCGGCCCCCUGGACAAAGACUGACGCUCAGGUGCGAAAGCGUGGGGAGCAAACAGGAUUAGAUACCCUGGUAGUCCACGCCGUAAACGAUGUCUACUUGGAGGUUGUGCCCUUGAGGCGUGGCUUCCGGAGCUAACGCGUUAAGUAGACCGCCUGGGGAGUACGGCCGCAAGGUUAAAACUCAAAUGAAUUGACGGGGGCCCGCACAAGCGGUGGAGCAUGUGGUUUAAUUCGAUGCAACGCGAAGAACCUUACCUGGUCUUGACAUCCACGGAAGUUUUCAGAGAUGAGAAUGUGCCUUCGGGAACCGUGAGACAGGUGCUGCAUGGCUGUCGUCAGCUCGUGUUGUGAAAUGUUGGGUUAAGUCCCGCAACGAGCGCAACCCUUAUCCUUUGUUGCCAGCGGUUAGGCCGGGAACUCAAAGGAGACUGCCAGUGAUAAACUGGAGGAAGGUGGGGAUGACGUCAAGUCAUCAUGGCCCUUACGACCAGGGCUACACACGUGCUACAAUGGCGCAUACAAAGAGAAGCGACCUCGCGAGAGCAAGCGGACCUCAUAAAGUGCGUCGUAGUCCGGAUUGGAGUCUGCAACUCGACUCCAUGAAGUCGGAAUCGCUAGUAAUCGUGGAUCAGAAUGCCACGGUGAAUACGUUCCCGGGCCUUGUACACACCGCCCGUCACACCAUGGGAGUGGGUUGCAAAAGAAGUAGGUAGCUUAACCUUCGGGAGGGCGCUUACCACUUUGUGAUUCAUGACUGGGGUGAAGUCGUAACAAGGUAACCGUAGGGGAACCUGCGGUUGGAUCACCUCCUUACCUUAAAGAA